rnacentral:rRNA from 1 species
GUCGCCCCACCCUCCCCACCUUCUCUGCGCGCUGCGUCCUACCCGAAACGAAUCCCGGCUUCCUCGCCUCCUUCUGCUCCCGGCCGGCGCCGCCCCGACUCCUCUACCUCCUGGUCGGCAUCAUCGCACCUUCUAUUCGUCACCCCGACCACCUACUCCGGUCACACCUCCCCCAACCCCGCCGCCGGGCACUGCCCCACCACCUCCACUGCAUCGUGCUGCUGUCGCCCUUGCUCGCGGGCCCCCCUCCACCUUCUCCAAUCACGGCCCCUACCACUACCUCCUACCACUUCGCUUCGCCGCCGGCCAGCGGGGGAGCCGGAUCCCCACGCCACCAGGGCUACCGUGAGCCAUCUCCGUCCUCCUAGAUACCAACUCCCCCAGCCAGCGCCGCCCAACCCCUGGCCACUCGCCCCUCCCCCUCAGCUGCGUGGUGGCCGACGACUCCGGUGGCUCUCCGUCCACGGAUUCGGCCGUCCCCCGACCACCGGACCACGGGCAGUGAGUUCCUCAGGUGAGAUCUCCGACGAGAUCUCCUGCAUCCCCUUCCCUCCUGUGAGCUGGCCUGAAGACAGUCGAGGCUCCCGAUGCAGUUUGAUUUCGUGGGUGGCGUCGUGCGGUGUGUGUGUCUUGCAGCUCAGAGCGAGCGGGCAUGCAGCUCUGAACGAUUCGGCCGCCUGCACACACUGAAUCCAUCUCAGUCCCGCGAGCGGCAGUAGCUACGGGAGCAUAGCAGCAGGUGGCGGUGUCCCAAGGAGGUCGUUUGAUCCAUUGCUCGUGGCCUCCGCUUGCUCCGCCGCUAGCUGCUAUCUCUAAACAUCAUAGCUUCUGCUCCCGACUGCAGGUUUGCCUCCAUCCUGUGACCAAGUGUUAGUUUUUUCCUCUCUGAAUUGAUUCCUCACCGCUGCAGACUUUUGAAGCAACUACUAUUGUCCCAUGAAGUAUCUACUGUUUAGCUUUUUUCUCCUCUGAUUUUACCGUCGAAUAUUGCUGCUGUAGCUUGUUUGUGCGCACAAAGAAGAAAUAAAAGGGAAAAGGCACAUACGGUGGUGGAAGGAUAAGAAGUGUGUGGCGAGGCUAGUCUAUGGAUGAAAUCUUUGCAUCUUUUUCAGCUCAUCCAGCAUGCUCUGCUCUAUAGGACGGUGAUCGCAGGCUGUUCGCUUCUGUUUGCGCAGGAUAUUGUGCAAAAUUCCCAGUUUUUUGUGGUUUGCUCGCUAUGUAAAAAAUGCAGUUUAUUUGUAACGAUGCUUGUGGUUUGCUUGCUAUUUAAAAAGUGUAGUCCAUCCCAUCGGUCAUGUUUUUUGAGAAAACAAUUUGUAUUGUCACACAUGGUGGUUUCACUUAUGUGUAUGCUUGCAAUGCGGUGUGUGUAUGCGUGCAGUGCGCUCCUGUGGUUUCCUUUGUAACGAC